UUGAGACAUUCUGAAAUUUGGCAAAGCAAAAUUAUUUAUGAAAAUUACAAAAGUGUUGGAAUUGUAGUUAGCGAAAGUGUUUCAUAUUUUAGGUUGAUUUCUGCUAUUGCUUCGGAACUUGACAUAGAACAAUUGAAGAAAAAUAUUAAUGUUCAUUAUAUUGUUGAAGAAAAUACGACGCCUAUGGUUAUUAGAAACGACAAUGGUGUUAAGGUUUACGUUGAGUUAAAAAAAAUAUUUACAGGUUUUGUAAUGUAUCCGUUAUGUAUAACAACAAUGGAUAAAUCGACAAAAGAUAGAGAAUUUAAUGUUGAAACUGAUGCAAUGAUGUGCGUCGAAGGGACUUGCUGUUUUUGAGUUGAAUAAUCAGUACUCUUUGUAUGUACCAAAAAUUAAAAUUACAAAAUUCAUUACCGAUUGCCAAAAUACAAGGAUAAGAAAACUCUUAAAGCUGUAAUGGAAAAGUACACGUUAGAUCACAGUUUUAACUUCAGAGCUACAAAAUCUGAUAAAAAAAGACCAGUUAUUGUGGUGGAUGGUGCUCAUUUGAGUGGACCGUACAAAGGAAAUUUCCUUUCUGCUAGCACUCUUGAUAGUGCAGAUUUCAGAUUGAUGAAAUUCCAUGCCGCACGAGAUUGCAGUGUUGAAAAGUAAACAUGUUACGAAGUUUCGUCCAUGCUGUUCUGAUUACUAUAAGCCUGCAACAUUAGUCAAGACAUAUGAAGUUUCAAUGGUACCUAUGCCCGAUAAGAAGGAUUGGCAUGUUCCUCAAUGUGUCGAAGAAGAAGAAGUCAUGCCACCAAAAUAUAAAAGACCACCUGGGAGGCCGAAGUAGGGGAGGUGUAAGAAAGCAAGUGAAACACUAUCCUCCAAUACAAACUGUUGUGAAAAAUGCGGUCAUGAAGGUCACAAUAGGUGUACGUGCAACUUCUUUCUGAAGGAGAAUCGAUGUUUAAGUUUCAUGAUACA